rnacentral:rRNA from 1 species
AGAGAGAGACAUGCGCGCAUAUCAAUAAGCGGAGGAAAAGAAACUAACAAGGAUUCCCUUAGUAACGGCGAGUGAAGCGGGAAGAGCUCAAAUUUGAAAUCUUCAAGGUUUUACCUUGACGAAUUGUAGUUUAAAGAAGUGUUUUCUGCUGAAGUUUUGGUAAAAGUUCUUUGGAAUAGGACAUCAUAGAGGGUGAGAAUCCCGUAUUUGACCAUUAUUUUCAGCUUUGUGAUACACUUUCAAAGAGUCGGAUUGUUUGGGAAUGCAGUCCAAAAUGGGUGGUAAAUUUCAUCUAAAGCUAAAUAUUGGCGAGAGACCGAUAGCGAACAAGUACCGUGAGGGAAAGAUGAAAAGAACUUUGAAAAGAGAGUUAAACAGUACGUGAAAUUGUCAAAAGGGAAGCGUUUGACACCAGUGUUGUUUUCUCGAAAAUCAAUUAAAAAUGGCUAGAUUUUGUAUGUUGUAUUGACCUUUAAUCAAGCUUCACUGCUACAUCUUUUCGUGUCUUUUUUAAUGCACUUUUCGUUUAACAAGUCAACAUCAGUUUCUUUUGUUGUAAAAGGGUCAUUGGAAGGUGGCUUUCUUUUCGGAGAAAGUGUUUAUAGCCUUUGGCCUCUGCAAUCGAAGAGACUGAGGUCUGCAGCGUAGACUCUUCGGGGUUAGAUACAUUUGUGCUAAGUUAUAGCUUUUUAUAGACAACUUGUUGACUAUAAUUAGUCUUGUAGCUUACUCGCUUAUGCUAUUUUACCUACGCUUAGGAUGUUGAAGAUGUAGCACAUCAU